ACUCCUACGGGAGGCAGCAGUGGGGAAUAUUGGGCAAUGGGCGGAAGCCUGACCCAGCGACGCCGCGUGCGGGAUGAAGGCCUUCGGGUUGUAAACCGCUUUCAGCAGGGAAGAAGCGAAAGUGACGGUACCUGCAAAAGAAGCACCGGCUAACUACGUGCCAGCAGCCGCGGUAAUACGUAGGGUGCAAGCGUUGUCCGGAAUUAUUGGGCGUAAAGAGCUCGUAGGUGGUUUGCCACGUCGGAUGUGAAACCCUGAGGCUCAACCUCAGGCCUGCAUUCGAUACGGGCAGACUAGAGUGUGGUAGGGGAGACUGGAAUUCCUGGUGUAGCGGUGAAAUGCGCAGAUAUCAGGAGGAACGCCGGUGGCGAAGGCGGGUCUCUGGGCCAUUACUGACACUGAGGAGCGAAAGCGUGGGGAGCAAACAGGAUUAGAUACCCUGGUAGUCCACGCCGUAAACGGUGGGCACUAGGUGUGGGACCCUUCCACGGGUUCUGCGCCGCAGCUAACGCAUUAAGUGCCCCGCCUGGGGAGUACGGCCGCAAGGCUAAAACUCAAAUGAAUUGACGG
rnacentral:rRNA from 1 species